rnacentral:rRNA from 1 species
CAGAGGUGGCAAGCGUUGUUCGGAAUUACUGGGCGUAAAGGGCGCGUAGGCGGCCCACUAAGUCAGACGUGAAAUCCCCCGGCUUAACCUGGGAACUGCGUCUGAUACUGGAGGGCUUGAGUAUGGGAGAGGGAUGUAGAAUUCCAGGUGUAGCGGUGAAAUGCGUAGAUAUCUGGAGGAAUACCGGUGGCGAAGGCGGCAUCCUGGACCAUUACUGACGCUGAGGCGCGAAAGCUAGGGGAGCAAACGGGAUUAGAUACCCCGGUAGUCCUAGCCCUAAGCGAUGAAUGCUUGGUGUGGCGGGUAUCGAUCCCUGCCGUGCCGAAGCUAACGCAUUAAGCAUUCCGCCUGGGGAGUACGGUCGCAAGGCUG